rnacentral:rRNA from 1 species
UGAACGCUAGCGACAGGCCUAACACAUGCAAGUCAGGGGCAGCACAAGGAGCAAUCUGAGGUGGCGACCGGCGCACGGGUGAGUAACACGUAUGCAACCUGCCUGUAAGCGGGGAAUAACCCGUUGAAAGACGGACUAAUACCGCAUAAUACUAAAUUACUGCAUGGUAAUUAUUUAAACAUUUAUGGCUUACAGAUGGGCAUGCGCAUGAUUAGCUAGUUGGAGAGGUAACGGCUCCCCAAGGCAACGAUCAUUAGGGGUUCUGAGAGGAAGGUCCCCCACACUGGUACUGAGACACGGACCAGACUCCUACGGGAGGCAGCAGUGAGGAAUAUUGGUCAAUGGACGAGAGUCUGAACCAGCCAAGUCGCGUGCAGGAAGAACGUCCUAUGGAUUGUAAACUGCUUUUGCAGGGGAAUAAAGUGCAUCACGUGUGAUGUUUUGUAUGUACUCUGCGAAUAAGGAUCGGCUAACUCCGUGCCAGCAGCUGC